UUUCGGCUAGAAAUUGCGAGGUUCGGUGCGUCGCGGCUGGCCUGAAGGAAGGAGCCAGGGGUUGCGUGUUGUCCUAGAAAGUCCUCGACCUUGAGGGGAUGAUGAAUUAAAAGGAGGACGGGCGACACGUACCGUACUGGAAGGACCCGAACAGACUUGGUUGUGACCUUAGGCUAAUGUCUUAGCUUCCUAACGCUGUCUCCUCAUCAGUAAGUUCCAAGUCAUUUCCUACCGUUCAGCCAAUGAGCUUCCUUUGCCUGAUUUGUGGUGAACUUAGCUUUGGAGAGUUUAUUGUCUGACCAUUAUAUACAGGAGGUAAGAAAUUCCUCUUAUACUCCUGUUCUGGUAUCCCUCUGGAAGCUGGGCAAGUUAAUACAUGAUGCGGAGCUUGUAUUUACAAAAUGAAUCAAAAUAUUUUUUUUUUAAAUUGAGGACUCAAUAAAAUAACAAACAGCUGGAAAUAAGCAGACUACCAUAAGAGUGAAUUGAAAAGAAAACCCAAUGUAAGUGAAAAGUUGGAUGAUCCUCUAAUAAAGAUCAUUAGCAAAGUUUUAGUACAAUACUGUUUUUAGGAUUCCCGUAAAUGGCUUGCAUUUUUAGUGUGGCAGAAAAGGAGUUUUUACAUACUGUACACAAAACAGACAGCAUAUAUUUAUAGGUACAGUAUUACUGUUUCCAAACUUGCAUGUAUAUUUACAGAAGGCUGAGUUUGUUACUCACAGAGUUUUGUGACAUUUGUGUGCUUAAUCCUUAAGACCUACACACAAUUAGAAUCAGCAUUUCAUGUGGUCUUUUUAAAUGUGGCUUUAUUACUUGGUUGUACAAGAAAGUGUUAACCAUAAGGCUUGACAUACUUUAUAAAUUUACCAAAAAAAAAAAAAAAUCCCAGGAAAAAGUUUUAAUUUGGGCACACUUGUCAUUUAACAGUUAUCAAAUGCU